rnacentral:rRNA from 1 species
GACGAACGCUGGCGGCGUGCUUAACACAUGCAAGUCGAACGGAAAGGCCCUGCUUUUGUGGGGUGCUCGAGUGGCGAACGGGUGAGUAACACGUGAGUAACCUGCCCUUUACUUUGGGAUAACUUCAGGAAACUGGGGCUAAUACUGGAUAGGAGCUCCUGCUGCAUGGUGGGGGUUGGAAAGUUUCGGCGGUUGGGGAUGGACUCGCGGCUUAUCAGCUUGUUGGUGGGGUAGUGGCUUACCAAGGCUUUGACGGGUAGCCGGCCUGAGAGGGUGACCGGCCACAUUGGGACUGAGAUACGGCCCAGACUCCUACGGGAGGCAGCAGUGGGGAAUAUUGCACAAUGGGCGGAAGCCUGAUGCAGCAACGCCGCGUGCGGGAUGACGGCCUUCGGGUUGUAAACCGCUUUCGCCUGUGACGAAGCGAGAGUGACGGUAAUGGGUAAAGAAGCACCGGCUAACUACGUG